CCUACGGGAGGCAGCAGUGGGGAAUAUUGGACAAUGGGGGGAAACCUGAUCCAGCCAUGCCGCGUGUGUGAAGAAGGCCCUCGGGUUGUAAAGCACUUUCAGUGAGGAAGAACGCCUGGUGGUUAAUACCCAUCAGGAAAGACAUCACUCACAGAAGAAGCACCGGCUAACUCCGUGCCAGCAGCCGCGGUAAUACGGAGGGUGCGAGCGUUAAUCGGAAUUACUGGGCGUAAAGCGCGCGUAGGUGGCUUGAUAAGCCGGUUGUGAAAGCCCCGGGCUCAACCUGGGAACGGCAUCCGGAACUGUCAAGCUAGAGUGCAGGAGAGGAAGGUAGAAUUCCCGGUGUAGCGGUGAAAUGCGUAGAGAUCGGGAGGAAUACCAGUGGCGAAGGCGGCCUUCUGGACUGACACUGACACUGAGGUGCGAAAGCGUGGGUAGCAAACAGGAUUAGAUACCCUUGUAGUC
rnacentral:rRNA from 1 species